UACGUAGGGUGCAAGCGUUGUCCGGAUUUAUUGGGCGUAAAGAGCUCGUAGGCGGUUUGUUGCGUCGGUUGUGAAAUCCCGAGGCUCAACCUCGGGUCUGCAGUCGAUACGAGCAAACUAGAGUGUUGCAGGGGAGACUGGAAUUCCUGGUGUAGCGGUGAAAUGCGUAGAUAUCGGGAGGAACACCAGUGGCGAAGGCGACUACCUGGCCUGUUCUUGACGCUGAGGCGCGAAAGCUAGGGGAGCAAACGGG
rnacentral:rRNA from 1 species